rnacentral:rRNA from 1 species
ACGGGGGGUGCAAGCGUUGUUCGGAAUUAUUGGGCGUAAAGAGCGUGUAGGCGGCUGGAUAAGUCAGAUGUGAAAUCCCUGGGCUUAACCCAGGACGUGCAUUUGAAACUGUCCAGCUUGAGUAAGGGAGAGGAAAGUGGAAUUCCUGGUGUAGAGGUGAAAUUCGUAGAUAUCAGGAGGAACACCGGUGGCGAAGGCGACUUUCUGGCCCUAUUCUGACGCUGAGCCGCGAGAUCGUGGGUAGCAAACAG